ACGUCCUUAGUUCAGUUGGUAGAACACAGGUCUCCAAAACCUGGUGUCGAGGGUUCAAGUCCUUCAGGGCGUG
rnacentral:tRNA from 2 species